rnacentral:rRNA from 1 species
GCCCAAGAGAUCGGGAUAACACCUGGAAACAGAUGCUAAUACCGGAUAACAACAGAUGAUGCCUAUCAACUGUUUAAAAGAUGGUUCUGCUAUCACUCUUGGAUGGACCUGCGGUGCAUUAGCUAGUUGGUAGGGUAACGGCCUACCAAGGCGAUGAUGCAUAGCCGAGUUGAGAGAUUGAUCGGCCACAUUGGGACUGAGACACGGCCCAAACUCCUACGGGAGGCAGCAGCU